GAAUUUAACGUAAAAUUCCGGAUAAGCUACUUGGUAGCGCGCGACGUCUAUGCAGUGGCUCUCAUUGCUCGGAACCUUGUUCUUUAUGUACUUGGCGUCGCGACGCUACCGCGUCGCUUGAUAACGAUAUUGAGAGAAACUGAUAACUACGCCGAUUACUGGAAAAUACUGGAUUCUGGCAGCAUUAAGUAACUGUCUGACAUAAUCCGCAAAACAUCUUCUGAAAACAAUUGUAUCUUUCAAACUUAAAAAUCUUGCCGCUGCAACUCGACAAUACAAAACUCGAAUAUCUCAGCGCAGGAUUUCGAGAUUAAAGAUUAAAGAUAAACAGAACCUGAUUAGUCAGCAAUAAAUAUUCAGAAGCGAAAGAAAAAUUAACACGUAAACACACAAUCGCAUCGCUUUCUAAUCUCGCUUGUCAGGUUCUGGAAACUACGGCUAUCUUCGCACUUUUCACGAUAUUCUUGGGAAGAAAAAUCGAAUCGUAUGCGACGCCGAACGAUUAAACAAUCGCCGCCUUAACAAUGCUCCCCGCCGCGGGGAGAGGCUCUAUAUCACUAUGAUGUAAUAUCACAGAGUUACGAUUACAAUGAAUCGCAGUGACGAGGCUGUCACUUAUCUGGGUCGUUGCGAAUGGGUAAUCGCAAAAUCCGAUCAAUAGAGAAAGACCGAGCGAAACAUCACAUCGUGACGAAAUUUAUGUUAAUAAGAUGCAAAGGAGAUAAAUAAGAGCCCGAAACGCUGACGGCUUUGGCACGAUUUGCUAGUGGAUUUGCCAGCUGAUCGAUAGAUCGUGAAUUAAGUUGAACGGUUCUGUGUAUAGUUUCUGAUGGAAUGUUUGUUGAUAGCAAAGCGCUUUGACAGAAAUUAUACCUAAUUGUAAGUCCGACUCUUGCACGCAUUGCAGCAAUUAUUUUUGAUAAUUUUUGUUAAUUUUUUAUUAUUUUGUAAACAUGGAAAGGAGUUGUGUCGAUUGACAAGAGAUUUUUAUUUAGUACUGUUCCUGGCGAAUCUAAAGAUUUAUUUAGAAUAAAAAAUAAUAUCAACAACUC